GCCAUGAGCAGGGCAUGAAAUGGUCUGUCCCAUGCCUUCCUCCAUUAUUUUGGUAGUUAAAUAUUCACUCCAGCACUGCAUACAGAACUUGUGUCCACACUCUAGGCCAGUAAAGUACGAGUUGGGGUAGUUCAGAUAGCAGAUCUGACAAGGCAUAUCCUGAGCUGAUGACCUUGUGUUCAUCUGGCGCGUUCGAGACUUUUUACUUGGAUUAAUUACAUGACACUCCGCAAAGAGCUUUUCCAAGUUGCCAUCGAAGUACCUCUCCAUCAGCUUCUCUUUAUCCCAGUUGAAAUGGCUAAGCAGUAUUCGAGUGAUAGUCGCUGGAUUCUGGAUGACUUCGUUGACCUCGCGGAUGCACUCCACCAUGUGCUGCAGGAUCUGCUCGGCCGUCAGCACCUCGUAGCGGUAGUCCUCCUCCUGCUCGGGGCCGCCGCCGCCGCCGGGGCCCGGCCCGCCGCCCAGCCCUCCGCCGCCGCCCGGGCCCAGCCCGCCCGUCUCGCCGCCCAGCAGCCCGUCCCGCUCGCCGCCGACGCGCAGGCCGGGCUCCACCAGCUCCACCUCGCCCAGGUCCAGGUUAUCGUCAGGCUCGUCCUCUUCGUCGUCCUCGUCGUCCUCCUCCGCGCCGCUGUCCUCGCUGCACUCCUCGUCCUCGUCGAACUCGUAGUUGUAGCCCUCGUCCGAGUCCAUGGCGAGGCGGUGAACUGGAGGCUCCCGCCCGCCCCCCACCCUCACUCCCGGCCCCGCCGCGCCUCGGCCGCCUCAGCGCCAACAAAGAGACGCGGC
rnacentral:lncRNA from 1 species